AUGUUUUUGCCGCUUGGAAUCAUGUACAAUAAUCGGUAGCUUGACGAGGCGGCGGCUACGGAGCUGGAGAUACCCAGAGGAGGAAACCGGCAGAGGAGACUGGGAGGGAACAGGAGGUGGUUGAGGCGGAGACGCAGGCACUCUGGCUUGGCGUUGAAGGGCUAGGGUUUUGGCGCGGGUACGGACACCAAGGGAGAGGUCCAUAACGGCAACCUCGCCUGUCGUUUUAACCUUCCUCAUAUACUUUCCCAUUUAUAUCUCAUGGAGGAAGAGAGCCAGAACGAAAGCGCGAGCACUAGAGAAGGUAGUAGAGAGAGAAGAGAGUGCUUGGAGGUGGUUUUUGCGGUUGUUGGUUAAGACUUGAG
rnacentral:misc_RNA from 1 species